AUUUCCGGUUGAUCCCGCCGGACCUGACUGCUAUCGGAUUGAUACUAAGCCAUGCGAGUCUUUGUAGUAAUACAAGGCAUACGGCUCAGUAACGCGUAGUCAACCUACCCUAUGGACAAGAAUAAUCUCGGGAAACUGAGCAUAAUUCUUGAUAGAUCAUAAUGCCUGGAAUGGUUUAUGGUUAAAAUGAUUUUUCGCCAUAGGAUGGGACUGCGGCCUAUCAGCUUGUUGGUGAGGUAAUGGCCCACCAAGGCGCUUACAGGUACGGGCUCUGAGAGGAGAAGCCCGGAGAUGGGUACUGAGACAAGGACCCAGGCCCUAUGGGGCGCAGCAGGCGAGAAAACUUUGCAAUGUGCGAAAGCACGACAAGGUUAAUCCGAGUGAUUUCUGCUAAAGGAAUCUUUUACCAGUUCUAAAAAUACUGGCGAAUAAGGGGUGGGCAAGUUCUGGUGUCAGCCGCCGCGGUAAAACCAGCACCUCAAGUGGUCAGGAGGAUUAUUGGGCCUAAAGCAUCCGUAGCCGGCUCUGUAAGUUUUCGGUUAAAUCUAUACGCUCAACGUAUAGGCCGCCGAAAAUACUGCACAGCUAGGGAAUGGGAGAGGUAGACGGUACUCGGUAGGAAGGGGUAAAAUCCUUUGAUCUAUCGAUGACCACCUGUGGCGAAGGCGGUCUACCAGAACAUGUUCGACGGUGAGGGAUGAAAGCUGGGGGAGCAAACCGGAUUAGAUACCCGGGUAGUCCCAGCUGUAAACGAUGCAGACUCGAUAAUGCAUUGGCACAUAGCCAGUGCAGUGUCGCAGGGAAGCCGUUAAGUCUGCCGCCUGGGAAGUAC
rnacentral:rRNA from 1 species